rnacentral:rRNA from 1 species
UACGUAGGUGGCAAGCGUUGUCCGGAUUUAUUGGGUUUAAAGGGCGCGUAGGCGGGCCCGAAAGUCAGGGGUGAAAGCCCACGGCUCAACCGUGGAAGUGCCUCUGAUACUUCGGGCCUCGAGGGAGGUAGGGGCGUGCGGAACUUCCGGUGGAGCGGUGAAAUGCGUAGAUAUCUGGAGGAACACCGGUGGCGAAGGCGGCAUCCUGGACCGACACUGACGCUGAGGAGCGAAAGCCAGGGGAGCAAACGGG